rnacentral:rRNA from 1 species
GAAACGGUAGAUAAUGCCGCAUAAUGUUGCGAAGCCAAAGUGGGGGACCUUAGGGCCUCACGCCAGAGGAUGAACCCAGACGGGAUUAGCUUGCCGGUGAGGUAACGGCUCACCGUGGCGACGAUCCCUAGCUGGUCUGAGAGGAUGACCAGCCACACUGGAACUGAGACACGGUCCAGACUCCUGCGGGAGGCAGCAGUGGGGAAUAUUGCACAAUGGGCGCAAGCCUGAUGCAGCCAGGGGGCGUGUGUGAAGAAGUCCUUAGGGUUGUAAUCUAAGGGAGCGGUGAGGAAGGUAACGGAGUGAAUAUCUGCGUUACUG